AGGAUGGCGACCGGCGCACGGGUGAGUAACACGUAUCCAACCUGCCGAUAACUCGGGGAUAGCCUUUCGAAAGAAAGAUUAAUACCCGAUGGCAUAAUAGAACCGCAUGGUUUGAUUAUUAAAGAAUUUCGGUUAUCGAUGGGGAUGCGUUCCAUUAGGCAGUUGGUGGGGUAACGGCCCACCAAACCUUCGAUGGAUAGGGGUUCUGAGAGGAAGGUCCCCCACAUUGGAACUGAGACACGGUCCAAACUCCUACGGGAGGCAGCAUG
rnacentral:rRNA from 1 species